AUGUCGACGGUAGUAGGCGCACGUUCCGAGCCCACCACGCCGACGGCCACCCGCAAGCGCCCGGCGGCGGAGCGCGUCGCCAACGGCAACGGCGGCAAGAAGGCUCGGUACUCGUUCGGGAGCAUUCGCGACUACGAGACGCUGGAGGUGCUCCGGGAAGGCGCCUACGGCCAGGUCUCGAAGGCGCGCGACCGCCGCACCGGCAAGAAGGUGGCGGUGAAGUGGAUCCGCGCGCCCGACAUGCCGGCCGUGAUCCGUGAGGCCGGCUGCCACGCGGCGUGCCGCGGCCACCCGUCCGUCGUCGACAUCCUGGACGUGGCGACGGACGCCGACACGGGGGACAUGUUCCUCGUCAUGGAGCUCGUCGCCGGCGGGCUCACCCUGCGCGAGCACCUCUACAAGCCUCUCUCGGAGGACGUGGCCCGCGUGAUGAUGCGGCAGCUCCUGGACGCGGCCGAGAGGCUGCACGGGGCCGGCGUCGUCCAUCGGGACAUCAAGCCCGAGAACGUCCUCGUCACCAUGUUCGGCGAGCUGAAGGUGGGCGACUUCGGGUCGGCGACGCGCCGGAGGCCGCCCGGUGUGCCGUACGAGAAGUGCCGCGUGGGCACGCUGAUCUACACCUCGCCGGAGCAGCUGGAGGGGAACCGGUGCUACGGGCAGGCCGUGGACAUGUGGGCGCUCGGGUGCAUCAUGGCUGAGCUCCUGGCCGACGGGACCCUGUUCGUGGGAGACACGGAGGAGGGCAUGGUCGCCGAGAUGGCCAAGCUACGAGAGCAGAUCGCCUCCACGGGGAAGAUGGACCUGGAGUGGUUCCCGGAUCUUUCGGAAGCCGGGCACGGCCUCCUCACUGGCAUGCUUGCAUUCGACCCCGACCAGAGGCUCACGGCGGUGGAAGCGCUUCACCAUCGGUGGUUCAACAACAACGAGGCCUCUGCUUCGUGA
rnacentral:rRNA from 1 species